GGAUGUGAGGGCAAUCUGGCUACUACAUCUAUUACCCCAUAGAUUUUCAGAGUUGAUUAGGCAAUCUGGCUGGUGAGGCAGGCAUUCCCUUCCUUCAUCACUGCUCCCUGUGCAUUCUUCCAGAAGCUGGACACUUAGUAAAGAGGAUAACCUUCUCCUUAGAAUUUUUAACAUAGAAUUAUAGAUUUUUAACAUAGAAUCCUAGCCUCACUGCAAAACUUGACCAGUGUUGAGAUUAGGGGUUGUCUCUGCUUAAUAUGAAAUAGAUGAGAUUGUGUCUUUCAACUGCCACUCCUC
rnacentral:snRNA from 1 species